rnacentral:tRNA from 1 species
UGGGGGAUGGUGUAACUGGUAACACGCUUGACUCUGGAUCAAGUAAUCAAGGUUCGAUUCCUUGUCCCCCAGCCA